rnacentral:rRNA from 1 species
AGCAUCGGCUAACUCCGUGCCAGCAGCCGCGGUAAUACGGAGGAUGCAAGCGUUAUCCGGAAUUAUUGGGCGUAAAGCGUCCGCAGGCGGCUUAUCAAGUCUGCUGUUAAAUGUCGGGGCUCAACUCCGAUUUGGCAGUGGAAACUGAUAGGCUAGAGUACGGUAGGGGUAGAGGGAAUUCCCAGUGUAGCGGUGAAAUGCGUAGAUAUUGGGAAGAACACCAGUGGCGAAGGCGCUCUACUGGGCCGUAACUGACGCUGAGGGACGAAAGCUAGGGGAGCGAAAGGGAUUAGAUACCCCUGUAGUCCUAGCUGUAAACGAUGGACACUAGGUGUUGGCCGUAUCGACCCGGUCAGUAUCGUAGCUAACGCGUUAAGUGUCCCGCCUGGGGAGUACGCACGCAAGUGUGAAACUCAAAGGAAUUGACGGGGGCCCGCACAAGCGGUGGAGUAUGUGGUUUAAUUCGAUGCAACGCGAAGAACCUUACCAGGGUUUGACAUCCCGCGAAUCUUGAUGAAAGUUGAGAGUGCCUUCGGGAGCGCGGAGACAGGUGGUGCAUGGCUGUCGUCAGCUCGUGUCGUGAGAUGUUGGGUUAAGUCCCGCAACGAGCGCAACCCUCGUUUUUAGUUGCCAUCAUUAAGUUGGGCACUCUAGAGAGACUGCCGGGGACAACUCGGAGGAAGGUGGGGAUGACGUCAAGUCAUCAUGCCCCUUACAUCCUGGGCUACACACGUACUACAAUGCUACGGACAAAGGGCAGCAAGCUCGCGAGAGCAAGCUAAUCUCAUAAACCGUGGCUCAGUUCAGAUCGCAGGCUGCAACUCGCCUGCGUGAAGGAGGAAUCGCUAGUAAUCGCAGGUCAGCAUACUGCGGUGAAUACGUUCCCGGGCCUUGUACACACCGCCCGUCACACCA